UAAAAUUUUAUGUAUGAUGUGUUACAGUAAUACACCCCCUUUUUUUCCAACAAUGCCCUUGUCAGUCCAUAAAUCUGUUCAUCAAAAUUUCCAACUACAUAUUACUCACCUUAGUUACAGGUGUACUGUGUAACUCAUUGUCAGAUCUGCCAACUUAUUAUUAAAAUGCUCUACAGAUCUGACAAUGAGUUACACAGUACACCUAAUAAUAAGUUGGGGUUUAAUAUAUGCACAAGACAGGGUACAACCUGUGUUUACUGUAAAUUUUAUAUCAUGUAGAGUAGAGUAAGAAAAUAUAACAGGGUUGUUCAAUGGAAACAUAUAUGACACUGAUGAAGGCAAGCAAAUGUAAAGGUCAGUGUUUUCAACUACUUCUCAAAGUAUAAAGAUAUUAAAAAUGUUAAUGGUUCAAUUUCAAUUAAACAUCUGUUGUUAUUUUUUUAGUGUGAAUGGUGCAGCCAUCCGGCCUAUCCCUCAUAAGCACAUGUAAAAACUAGCUAGAUACACUGAUAUAACUUAACAUGUAAAAACAGAAAAUAAAAUUGAGUAUAUUACAACUUAUACAUAUAUUAUUUCAUAAAACAUCUUAAAUCUAGUUUUUCAUAAUCUAAAAUAAACAAAUUUAGUAAAUAGUAAGAUUUCUAUUUAUCAGCAUCAAUGAACUUGAAUUUUACUUGAUGAACUGAGGACAACAAAUUGGUAUGAAGUUUGAUUUACCCUCUCAAAUUCAACCAUAUAAGACAUUCAAUUUCUCAGCAUAGACAAAUCUUAAAAAGUUGUUAAACAAUUGAGGAUUACAAAUAAAUUUUCAUAUUUGAUAAUAAAUAUUCCUAUUACUAGCUUCUCCAACAGGAUCAGUAACUCUGCCGAUAUGACAAACUGGUGUGCUAUAUUAAACCGAAGACGACAAAAAUAAGAUGUAGUAUGAGCCUAUGAGGCAACUUUCCACCAGAGAUCAGAUGACAUAGAAGGGGUGAGAAAAAAAAUGAUUCUUUGAAUAAAGUUGAAUUAACGGUGAAGUAAUUUUUUCAAGCCUUUUCAGUAAC
rnacentral:lncRNA from 1 species